rnacentral:lncRNA from 1 species
ACCAUGUAGGGGAGGGGGGAUCUAUCCACAUACCUCAGGUAACAGGGAGGUGCGAGGGUGGGGGGAGGGACUGGGCGGACCAAAGGCCGGAGGGGAGGGGGUUCUGAGUAUGGCGAAAGGCUUGAUAAUGGGACCGCUUGGGGAGGGGGAGGAGGCAGCCCGGCGGGGCAAAUGGGGGUCCCAGCCGGGCUGGGCCCCUGGGCCCCGGGUCUGUACAAUACGGUUUGCUAUAAAACUCAAAAUCUUCCAGCCACUGCUGCCGCGUUCGUGUGUGUCUCUUCGGCGUUGGGGUCGGGGGGUAGAGCUGGCCUGACUGGAAUGCUCAUGCUUUGGGCCUCCCUAAGGGGGCUGUUUGGAUGGAUCUGGGAGUUCUUCGCGUCCCCUAGGCUUCCCGGAACUGAGGAUGCCGGACGUCCUGUGAUCCCUAAAGGUGGAUAGGUUUACCUUUCGCCAGCUCAUCAUUUAGGGGGGAGGGGAUUGGAGGUCUGGACAUCUAGGGGAUGUCCAGGUGUGCCUCAAUGGUCCAGGGCUCGGGGACCCCCAAGUCACACGCUGGGGCUAGGCGUUUGCCUCCUCGGGGUUCCGGCACCUGGGCGAUAGUGAAGUGGCCUUGGGUCGCGGGGUCCCUCGGGAUCUCGGCCCACAGUCCCCCGGCUCCACCCCAUCAUGUGGCCACUCCGACUCCGCCUCCGUCCUAGUUCCGGUUUCGGCCUCUGCUGUCCCGCUUCGGCCCCUAGGUCUCCCUGCAGACGCCUGCUCUUUCGGCUUCGCCUGGGCGCCUCUUCGUGGGAGCCCGCCGCCCGCAUCCCCGCUAGCCCCGCCGUGGGAUGGGGCCUUCUGCCGGCCGGGGCCUGCCCUCCUGGGGCCCCCAGGGCGACUCGGGGCCCCCGUGACCGCCCAGCCCGCCCAGUGCUGCAGCCCCCAGGAUGAAGGGCGGCGAGGGGGACGCGGGCGAACAGGCCCCGCUGAACCCGGAGGCCGAGAGCCCCGCGGGCUCGGCCACGUACCGAGAGUUCGUGCACCGGGGCUACUUGGACCUCAUGGGGGCCAGUCAGCACUCGCUGCGGGCGCUCAGCUGGCGCCGCCUCUACCUCAGCCGGGCCAAGCUCAAAGCCUCCAGCCGCACGUCUGCCCUGCUCUCGGGCUUCGCCAUGGUGAGGGGAGGGAAGGGGCGCACAGGGUGGGGGUGAGGCACAUGGGGGCAUGGGGUCGUGGACGAAGUAAACGGGUACCCACGGGAGACGGGACAGAGGAAGGGGUUUUUAAGAGGUAAAGGAGUACAAACAAGGUCCCAAGGGACUACUCCAGUCCCUUUUUCUGAGUGUGUGUGUGUGUGUGUGUGUGUGUGUAAGUGUGUAAGAAGACCCCUAGCAUAAACCGGGCCAGAAGGAGGAUAAACAAGCCUGAAAGGUGUCCUGAGGGGAGACAAAUCACCAACGGCGAUAUAUAUGCAAGGGUGGGGCAAAGAGGUCCCAAAGGAGCACGUCCCAGGCAGAAGUCCUUACUAGGUUACCAUGAGAGAUUCAAAGGCAAAUCAGAGUUUGGUGGGAGCUAUAAAAACAGGCCUGGGAGAGUCAAAGACAAAAAAAUGAAUAAACGUAGUCACCCAGUUGAAGGUGGCCCCAUCCCAAAGAGGGUGGCCAGUUCCUAGCAAUCACAAAGAGUGCUUGGUGUAACGCAGGACAGCUCUGAGCAGAGAGGAUGCCUGUGAGGAAGCUGCUGGGGAAAGAAGCUGAUUAGGAAGCUGAUAUGUGAUUUCGGAACUGAUAAACUGCAGGUGUGGGAGGAUGAUAUCAGCCAACAGGCCCAGCGGAGGAAAUGGGACUGAGGGAAUCUCAGGGUCAGGAGGAGUCAGCAGACACAAACCCUGGCUCCUCCCAGCCUGUGGCCAGCUGUGUGACCCUGGACAGGCAUCCUCCCCCUCGCAGUCCAGUGGGAAACUGAGAUCAUGGAGGGUGCGCUCUCUGUAGCUUGCAAGUACCCGCCCCAGGAUGAGCUGAUUCUUGUCAUCAAACUCUAGAUCCCAGCAUGUCAGAACAAGACACGCAUCAGAGAUGGCUCAGCCUGUCUGUUAAUUGGAGAGGCAUGGAAGCCAAGGCCCAGAAUGGGGCAGUGCCUCUGCCAAGAGCACUCAGCAGAUGAAGGAUACAGAAUGAACUAGGGCCCAGGAUCACUGGACUCAGUUAGUCCAGAGUUUCCCUACCAACACGACAGGAAAAAGCAAGCAAGCUGGUGGGGAGUCUUCAUAGGAACAUACGGACAUGGGGAUAGAGGAGUCACAACACUAGGUGAUUUGGGUUAGUCUCUGCCUCUUUCUCUUUACCAUAGCCUAUGUAUUUGAAUGAUGAGAGGAAAAGUCUACCCUUAAGGGUCAUCCGAGUUCUAUCAUUUUCUGUAUAGGGACCCAGUAUCCAUAGGCCAGUCCAGUUUUCCUGAUGUGGGGUCAGCUAGAGACAGUGAAGUGGCUCUUUUUCUCCUGUACAGACUGUAGAGGGAAGGAAGCAACUUCCUGGACCUAGCUGAGAGAGGUCCCCCACCCCCAUCCAUCCCAUGGUCCAGCCUGUUCCCAAGGGGACAAUCUGGCCUGCUGCUGGACUUGCAUGUUGCUGAGGUGACAGCUUAAGCACCAGGGCCUUCUCUGCAGGAUCAAACGACCAGAUGAGUAGGUUCUGGGGGCAGACUGGCCCCACUCUGGCCAGGGGAGAGCAAGACUGGGUCAGGCUCUGGGAGAAACCAGGACUAGGCCUGGCCCAGAUCACUGUCAGUGGAAAACACCUGCUAACACUCACCAUGGCCCAAUUUCCCAAAAUACUUAGCCUUGUCUUCCUACCACCACCUUCCAGGUUCUGUACCUUCUUUCUCUCAGCCCCAGAGCAAUAUAAUGGAUCCUGUAAGAACUAGGCAUGGGGAAAGAUCCAGAUUCUGGUAUCUGGGUAGCCUGGGUUAGAAUAACAUACAAAUUGUAUUACACUGUCAUGCAGUACCAGGCAAUGUGCUUAGAGCUUUUACGUGUAUCACGUUUAUUAUUCUAUGAAGUAGGUACCACUACUAUGGCCAUUUUACAGAUGCGAAAACAGGAUCAGAGAUGUUAAGACACCUGCCCAGGAUCCCACAGCAAGUAAGUGGCAGAAUUUGAACUUAGGUAGUCUGGCUCUAGAAUCCAAAUUUACACAAGCCUAGAACAGGAUCACCAGCGCAAAUGUUUGCAAAGGACAGGCAGUUUAAUAUGGACUCCCAAGUUGGCUGGGUGGGGACUGUGGCUAUCAGGAGACCCCAUGACCUGUCCAAAGGGAGCAGGGGAGCAGUCAUGACUCAAUUCUAGCUGGUAGUUGCCAUGCAGGAAUGUGGGCCUAGUGUAACCAGAUCUUCCAAAUUUUCAAGAGGAUCCAGAAAUAGAGAUAUUUAUAUGAAAUCUCUAGAGUCAAAAAAAAAAUUUUUUUUUAAUGUUUAUUUAUUUUUGAGAGGCAGCAUGAUCAGGGAGGGGCAGAGAGAGAGGGAGACACAGAAUCUGAAGCAGGCUCCAGGCUCUGAGCUGUCAGCACAGAGCACAAUGCAGGGCUCAAACUCAAGCCGUGAGGUCAUGACCUGAGCCAAAGCUGGACGCCUAACUGACUGAGCCAUCCAGGUGCCCUGAAAUCUCUAGAGUUUUAAAAGUUCAACCUAAUUCCUUAAAAAACACAGUGUAUGAGCCAAGCAAAACAUGUGCAAAGCUGGCUUGGAUUCAUGGUAUACCAAUUUGCAGGCACUAGCCUUAGACUUCGGUGUUUUUUUUGUUUUGUUUUUAAUUUUUUUAAUGUUUAUUUUUUGAGAGGAAGAGAGAGAGUGCAAGUGGGGGAGAUGCAGAGAGAGAGGGAGACACAGAAUCUGAAGCAGGCUCCAGGCUCUGAGCUGUCAGCACAGAACCCGACGCCAAGCUCGAAUCCAUGAGCCAUGAGAUCAUGACCCAGUUAACCAACUGAGCCACCCAGGCACCCCAGACUUCAGUGUUAAUAACACUAGUGACAGUGUUAAGAACACUAGUGUUCAUAACAGUUAAUAAUUAAUAAUAACAACAAUUAACUAGCACUUACUCUGUGCCUUAUACCUUCUUAUUACUUGGUGUACAUUAUCUCAUUUAAUUUUCACAACAACCCUGUAAGGCAGGUAGAUAUUAUUAUCAAUCCCCACUUUCCAGAUGAGGAAAUUAAGGCAUAGAGCUAUAUAUCACUUGUCAGCUUGUAGAGCUGAGAGUGAACCCAGGUGGCCCAGCUCCAGAAUCUGUUUUUUAACCCCUAGGUGAUAACAAGGUAAGACUUCCAGAAAUGUGUCAUCCAGCUCUCUCAAUAGCCAGGUGCAGAAACCAAAGCCAGUAAAAGGACAGAGCCUUACCGAGGCUACCAAUUCAUUCACUCAACAGAGACUAAGCAUCUUCUUCCUGCCAGGCACUGUUCUAGGUCCUAGGGAUACCUUGGUAAUGUAUACCAACAGGUAAAACAACCCUCUACUGCCAAAGAGGUUAUAGGCACUCAAUCCAUCUCUGUCCCCACAGGUGGCCAUGGUGGAGGUACAGCUGGAGAGCAACCACGAAUACCCGCCAGGCCUGCUGGUGGCCUUUAGUGCCUGCACCACCGUGCUAGUGGCUGUGCACCUCUUUGCACUCAUGGUCUCCACCUGUCUGCUGCCCCACAUAGAAGCCGUUAGCAACAUCCACAACCUCAACUCUGUCCACCAGUCUCCACACCAGCGACUCCACCGCUAUGUGGAGCUGGCCUGGGGCUUCUCCACUGCCUUGGGCACCUUCCUUUUCCUCGCUGAAGUUGUUCUGGUUGGCUGGGUCAAGUUUGUGCCCAUUGGCGCACCCUCGGGCACACCAGCCCCUUUGGUACCUGCCUCCCAGGUGCCUGGGACUCUGUCACCAGUGACCACCUCCCUUAGUCCAGCUUCCAAGCCAUCCUUUACUUCUGUAGCCCCAUCACAGGCUGAGCCAUCUGAGGCCUGCCCACCCCGGCAAGCAUGUGUUGGUGGAGGAGCCCAUGGACCAGGCUGGCAAGCAGCUAUGGCCUCCACAGCAAUCAUGGUACCUGUGGGGCUUGUAUUCGUGGCCUUUGCCCUGCAUUUCUAUCGCUCCUUGGUGGCACAUAAGACAGACCGCCACAAGCAAGAGUUAGAGGAGCUGAGUCGCCUGCAGGGGGAGCUGCAGGCUGUGUGAGGCUGAUGUUAACCACUACUGUAAACACUGCCUCCCUCCGGUCUGCAGGAGGACCCAGGUCCACAGACCCCAUUCCUUGCCCCUGCCUGGAGCCACUCCUGUGGCCACUCCCAGGUAGAGACCAGACUCCUGCUUUCUGAGUCCUUUGGGGUGGGCCCCGGGGGCAGCUUUUACAUUCCCAGGGAUUCUCCUCGCUGUCAGUCUAUCCCGGUCUGUCUAUAUCUGGGCUGGGAGGAACAGAGGAGGAAGUAGAAGGUCUUCAGUCCAAGUCUCACGUAGCUAGAGGGGAGGCAGGGAGACCCUGGUCAGACCUUUGGUGCUGACCCUUAACACCUUAACCCUGUACAGGAUGUGGAAGUCAGAGGUUACACACCCACCCAGCUGCCUCAGAAGGUAGCUAACCCUUGCUUUAUUUUUGUAGAAUCUACUUUAUGGUUGGCAUUUUGGGAAAGCUUUUCCCCAUCUCCAGAUUUUGAUGGGUUCCACAUUUUUGCUUUAGUUGCUGAAGAGAAGGAUUUGGGUGUUUCUAACCCAGACAUAGGUCCACUCUUUCCUAGGAGGAGCCUCACUAUUUAUGGAGGUUCAAGUGCCUGCCCCACUGCCCUAGACCCACACUUAAGCUUCUGCGUCUGGUUCUCACUCUCCUGGGCCAGGGCUGGAGAUCUUUGGAGACUGAGGGCCUGUGUGCCCAACCUGACUCUCUAGUAAGGGUUUGGGGUGGGGAGGUUUUAAGGGAGAGGAUCCAGUCACUAGCCCUUGGAAUACAGAGCUAUUCUCACACUGAAUUUUUGAUGCACCUUGUUUUGUAUAAUAAAAUGUGUUUCACAGAUGUCCCUGUAGCUGUGAAUGGGGUGAAGAGGGGGCCUCCUUGGGAUCAGGUGACUUACUCCUAAGAGCCAGGUGGAAGCAGGUGUACCUGGGGGGGGGGGCGCGGAAGAAUGGUUCCAGAUAUGAUCCCCUUCUGGUGCUGGCAGGGACCAGUUAUCUUCGGAUUUGGAGACUGAGUUAUUCCAAGGCUAAAAUUUUUGCACUCUUGUUCUUGGGUCUCCAUCACUUCCAUUGAUGAUUUAGAGUUUCUUUGUAAAGUGUAAGUUUCUUUCUUGAGUGACUACUACAUACUAGGAGCAAGGAUAUCUUAUUUAACCCUCACAACGACCUCAAGAGACAAGUCUUCACCAUUUCCAUUUCAGAGAUAAGGAAACAGGCCCGACAAAGUGGAGGAUCUUGCCCAAAGCAAUGAAAACUUGGACUACCUUUACCAUAACAUGGGAAAUCUCCUUCUGUCUGAUAUAAGAAGCCAAUCAAUACCUUUCAACUGGGACAAGAGAAAGGAAUCUGCUCUUAUCACCAGUGCUUUCAUAUAAAAAUUAGGCUUUCAUGUAAGUCUAAUUUUCCUCAAAAAUUUAAGGGGCUCUAAUCCUCGCUCCUCUAUUCUUAGCAUGAGACCUUGGUCCAGUCCCUCUUUUCUCUUUUCCUGUAACUUAAAAUUGUGAAUUUGUAUGAA